GGGCGUGUGGUCUAGGGGUAUGGCGUCCGCUUCGCAUUGAUCUAACAAGUAACUUGCGGAAGGUCCGGGGUUCAAUUCCCCGCUCGUCCA
rnacentral:tRNA from 2 species